rnacentral:rRNA from 1 species
UACGUAGGGGCCUAGCGUUGUCCGGAAUUAUUGGGCGUAAAGAGCUCGUAGGCGGUUCGGCAAGUCGGAUGUGAAAUCUCCACGCUUAACGUGGAGGGGCCAUUCGAAACUGCUGUGACUCGAGUCCGGUAGGGGAGUGUGGAAUUCCCGGUGUAGCGGUGAAAUGCGCAGAUAUCGGGAGGAACACCAGUAGCGAAGGCGGCACUCUGGGCCGGUACUGACGCUGAGACGCGAAAGCGUGGGGAGCGAACAGG